rnacentral:lncRNA from 1 species
CUCCCCAAAUUAUCUUCAAAUCCUGUCCUCUCCUGGGCGUUCAGAGGUCGCCUAUGCCGCCUACCACCACUCCAACCACUGUUGACCACCGGCCGGAAAUUGCCUCUAUCGGCGAAGUCAACCAAACAACCUCAAACCAUUAUUUUUCUUCUCCUCUCCUCCCCCUCUACACUCUUCUGCCCCAAAUGUCACUCCAUCAUUACCAAAUUCGAAACCCUAUCCUGUUCGUUCCCUUCUUGAUUUCAUCGACCAUCAUCGAUCAACAAGUCUUAAUAGUUACAUCAUUAGAUAGGUCUUAGAGAGAUCAAUCUAGUAAUUUAAGUAUCUAUUCAUUCAAUGAAUGUCGGUGCCGAUCAACUCAUCAUUGAUCGACCGGAGUUCAUGCAAAAGCCCAUCCAUGCCACUGCCUAACCUCCCAAUAGCCCUUACUCAUGGUAGAUCCACCCAUUGGUGGAAAUUCGUAAGUAAUAAAGCUUUAAACUAGCUAAGUGAAUAUGAAGUUCAAGGUGGUUCUAAUGGAGAAAGGUCCGUUGGUGGUUAGAUACCACCAAAUCAUGCACCAUCUAGUCUCACCUGGUUCUACUUUACUCCGAUAGGUACACUCUUCUCUUUUGUUUCUUUUGUGUUUAUUAUUAUUAUUAUUGUUGUUGUUGUUGUUGUUGUUUGUUAUUGUUGUUGUUGUUGUUGUUGUUUUUGUUGUUGUUGUUGUUGUUGUUAUUUUUUGGUUUCUUUUUAUCUCUACUUAGUUAAGAAAGGCACACAUGACUAUCUACUAAUUUUAUAUUAGUUGUUAACCACGAUUAGUAGCAGCCACUGCAUGUUAAGAGCAUUUAGACUUCUUAAGCGAUUGUUUGAAUGCAUUUGAUGUUGGUCACAUGAUUAAUUAUCACUAAGCAUGUUUAAUUGUGUUAAUUUCAUGUUUUAGUCAUUAACUUCUUUUAACUUUAGUAUUUGGUCACUGUCGUUUAUUAGCAUGACAAAAUAGUUUCUUAACUUGAUUCUGCGAUUUUGUUCAAUAAUGGACAUGCCUUUUAGGAUUUAGGUAUUUCUAAAUUGGACUUAGGAAGUUUGACUGAUUAAGCAAAAGAUUUGAUAAAAGGGGUAAUGGAUCCAUGCCCAAUCUUAUGUGGUCAGGUAGGUUUAAAAUAAAAAAAAGAGAUAACAAUGAUAGGUAAAGUGAAGAACGUAAAAAGGCAUUCCUCAAAAGAAAGCUAAGAAAUACAAAAUGAAUAAAUUAAUGUUUGGCUUGAUCAUCUACUUGCCAUCCCCACGCCGCCCGUGGUCACAAAUUUGAUUCGAAGUUAGGUUUCCAAUUCAUAUCCUCCAAGUGGAGUGAAAAGUAACGGAGUUGGUAAGCGUCGUGCCACGACAUUAAAUGCGGCGCUUGGUAGGAGGCAACCCAUCGUCUCCAAAAUUUUAAGUCAUUUUUUAAAUUUUCAUUUUUAGAAUAGGUUAGUAUAUUAUUUUUGACUAAUCUGCAGAGUUUUAGAAUUUUCAGAGUUGAUUUGAGAAGUUUGAGGUGUUGGAAGAACAACAAACAGUGGAUUCCCAAUUUUCUAUCUAGACUUUAGUUUAACCGCAUCUUCAGAAAUAUUCUCGCAGGUGCAGAACCACAGAAGCGAGAAAAGUAUAGUAGAAGCGAAACUUACACAGAAGUAGAUUCCUAACCGCAUAAGCGGAGCCGCAGAAAUGUUCAAAUAUCUGUAGAUGCGACUCGUCGGAUAAUUUUAAAGAUCCAAUAUGCCCUUCAGCAGGUCAGAGUCUGAACUCUAUUCUCCCAACCCAAAACCCCUCUCAUAUUUCACACAAGGAAACUAUUACUCGAAUCCUACUGCCUACACACAAGGAAAUCAGGUAAUCAUCUUUUUCCCUUUGUCUCUUAGCUACUCUCUCUUUUUCCCCGAUUUUCUUCUUCUCUCGUUAUCUUAUACUUUUAUGCAUAGCUAUUUCCCACAGCCUCUUUAUCCCAUCUCGAUAAUUGUUAGUGUUCGGGUGAGGAAAAUUGGUUAAGUGUAGUUGUAGAAGUCUGAGUACCCGAUUACUUUAAAGGAUCAAAACUCUCUCGUUUCUUGCUAAGUGUUCGGUGAUUUAUUCGAGAGAAAUUUAUGUGCUAAGUGCCUUGAGAUCAUGUGUAAUCAAGUUGUGUAAUCAUGUAGUGCACAAAUUUAGAAGUCUUGAGUAUAACUUUUGUGCCAAAAACGUGAUUUGAAUUGAAAAGAGUCGACAGUUUCUGGGCCCUUCAAAAUCUAGUGAAAAUCGCUUUUGUGAAGUAAAGGCUGCAUAUGCGUCCUGCACCUAUGAUGAAUUGUUAAGCAAGUGCGAAAUUGGCUGAGAUGUGAAAAACCGAAGAAGCAAGACUUUUACCACAUAUGUGGAACCGAACUUGCGAUGAAAGUUCUGCAGGUGCAAGUUUAUGUUGAGCAGUGAAAAUCAUAGAAGCGGAACCGCACCUGCGAUGCUUCUUCCGCAGGUGCGAUGACUGGCCAAUUUUUGCAAAACUAGUAGCUUUGCAACUAUGGCUUGCUCGGCCCAUUUGGCUCGAUUCUUUGGACUAAUUGAUGUAUUUUGAAUUUCUUAACAUGACUAUAAUGCCCGACUAAUUUUGUUUUGAUUUUUUAGGUACUUUGAACUUAAAAUAUGGACCCAAAGAUGAAUGAAAAUAUGGCACAUGAUCUUGAAAUUGAAGAAGAGGCUGUAGAAGAGCAAUUCGACAAUUAUCGCUUCAUGUCCAUUGAUUGUCACCACUGAUACUAUGACAAUCUUCUUAUAAAGAAGGUCCUACUGGAAAAGGGGAUCUUUGGGGAUAGAUUGGCCGAGCUACUUCCAGAUUUCUAUGACCGUC